rnacentral:rRNA from 1 species
AUUGAACGCUGGCGGCAGGCCUAACACAUGCAAGUCGAGCGAGCGGCGGACGGGCGAGUAAUGUAUGGGGACUGCCCGCUAGAGGGGGAUAACUACUGGAAACGGUGGCUAAUACCGCAUACUAUCGGAUAACCCAUAUGGGUUUAGCUAGUAGGUGGGGUAAAGGGUAACCUAGGCGACGAUCUCUAGCUGGUCUGAGAGGAUGAUCAGCCACACUGGGACUGAGACACGGCCCAGAAUCCGACGGAGGCAGCAGGGGGGAAUAAUGCACAAUGGACGCAAGCGUGAUGCAGCCAGGCCGCGUGUAUGAAGAAGGCCUGAGGGUUGUAAAGUACUUUCAGCGGGGAGGCGUUACCCGCAGAAGAAGCACCGGCUAACUCCGUGCCAGCAGCCGCGGUAAUUC